rnacentral:rRNA from 1 species
GUCUGGUUAAAUUCCGUUAACGAACGAGACCUUAAUCUGCUAAAUAGUUAGACUUAAGCAUUGUUUAAGUCGUUUUAGCUUCUUAGAGGGACUAUCGGNGUUUAACCGAUGGAAGUUUGAGGCAAUAACAGGUCUGUGAUGCCCUUAAAUGUUCUGGGCCGCACGCGCGCUACACUGAUGAAGUCAACGAGUUCAUUCCCUUUAUCGGAAGAUAUGGGUAAUCUUUUGAAACUUCAUCGUGCUGGGGAUAGGGCAUUGCAAUG